UAUGUUGGUGGAAACUCCAUGCUUCCAUGGAACCAGCUGUAGAGGAGUGGUGAUGCAAUGAGCAUCCUGGAAGUUUAGUUGUCAUUUGUCACCUUUUGGAUAAUGGAGUAGAUUUCUGAAGCUAUUUCUCCUUGUUUGGUGUUCUGCCUGCAAUUUGGACAAGUGGACUUCAGAUUAUGUCUUCGUAGACUGAAAGGCUUGGGACUACUUUGGUUUUCUGGGGGUCCACUUCAGACCCUAGUUGCCUUGGUUUUUCCCAUACCUGGAGAUGUCACCAGUGAAGCCUGGGAAACAGCAAAGAGGGCAGGAUUAGCUUCCAGGGGUCCUAGCAAGGUGCAUCACAGUGUCAAGAAUGCACUGCAUUCAGAGAAGUUCAAACUAUGG
rnacentral:lncRNA from 10 species